GUGCCUGGGAGAAGGGGGGUGAGGCAGACAGCCGCUCUGAGCAUCCCGACAUCCCGGAACCCGGGCGCCGCAGCGCUCCCGCAUGCCGACAUCCCGGGAGCCGCCGCCAGAGGGCGCUCGUAGCCCACCGCGGCACGGCCGGCGCUGCGCAGCCCGGCAGUGGGGGUGCGCGCACAGCCGCCCCGAUGCGUCACCUCCCCUUACGCGUCGUGGGUAUUUAAAGGGCUGACAGCUCUCGGAAGGGUGAGCUGGCCGCGUUCGUGGCCUCAAUCCUCGGCUGCUGUGAGCUGGCACCGCAAAGGGGCACAGAGUGCAGCCUGGGGUGUUAUCAGCGCUGCGGGGCUGAGCGCUGCGUGUGGCUGGGGGCUCCUUUUCGGGAGUUCCCGGCUAGCCCAGCACCCAAAGGCCGGAACCUCUGGGUUCCUGUGAGGUAAAAGCAGGCUGAGAGAGGCAGGUUCUCCUUCAGAUAUCCGGGACUGGGGCCUGCACUGAGCUGCCGUGCCCAGGGGUGUGCUGUGUCCCCAUCUGCACGGCCAGCACUGACACCGCCGGGGCUGCACCCACCUCACGCACUGCUCCCAUCAGGCUGAUCUUUCAUUUCAUUGUUCACAUCAUGCCCCAAACCUCGGAAACAAUUGGGAAGAGGAAUCUGGUUCACAUUGGUCUGUCUUCCCCUUCAUUGCUUCUGCUGGGUGCCACCCUGGCUCAGGUGGCCUCAGAGGUAAAUGCCACAGUGCACCCAACAGCCAGCAGUGCACCUCCCAGGACUGCCUGCAAUGCAUUUGCCAGCAUCAAAGACUUCUAAGAACAUGUUUGCCUCACCAGGACAGUAAUUGUAUCAGGCAAGUUGGAGACCAAUCUGCAGAGCUGAACGCUCCGAACUGCAAGAGAAAGGCUCCAAUUUCUCAAGCAGCGGGCGCAUUACUCCUCCACUUGAGUUAUUAAAUUCUAAUUAUAG
ensembl:lncRNA